rnacentral:rRNA from 1 species
GACGUAGGGCGCGAGCGUUGUCCGGAUUUAUUGGGCGUAAAGAGCUCGUAGGCGGCUUGUCGCGUCGACUGUGAAAACCCGCGGCUCAACUGUGGGGCUUGCAGUCGAUACGGGCAGACUUGAGUUCGGUAGGGGAGACUGGAAUUCCUGGUGUAGCGGUGAAAUGCGCAGAUAUCAGGAGGAACACCGGUGGCGAAGGCGGGUCUCUGGGCCGAUACUGACGCUGAGGAGCGAAAGCGUGGGGAGCGAACAGG